CAAUAGCGUAUAUUAAAGUUGUUGCAGUUAAAAAGCUCGUAGUUGAAUUUUUGCUCGCCGCCGAUGUCGGAACUUCCGUACGUUCGGCGGCGUGCAUCCUUGGGUGGAACCUGUGUGGCAUUAGGUUGUCGUGCAGGGGAUGCUCAUCGUUUACUGUGAAAAAAUUAGAGUGUUCAAAGCAGGCUUACGCCGUUGAAUAUAUUAGCAUGGAAUAAUAAGAUAGGACCUUGGUACUAUUUUGUUGGUUUGCGCACCGAGGUAAUGAUUAACAGGGACAGUUGGGGGUAUUCGUAUUCCAUUGUCAGAGGUGAAAUUCUUGGAUUUCUGGAAGACGAACUACUGCGAAAGCAUUUACCAAGGAUGUUUUCAUUAA
rnacentral:rRNA from 1 species